rnacentral:rRNA from 1 species
UUGACAUCCAGAGAACUUGGCAGAGAUGCCUCGGUGCCUUCGGGAACUCUGAGACAGGUGCUGCAUGGCUGUCGUCAGCUCGUGUUGUGAAAUGUUGGGUUAACGUCCGCAACGAGCGCAACCCCUAUCCUUUGUUGCCAGCGAUUCGGUCGGGAACUCAAAGGAGACUGCCGGUGAUAAACCGGAGGAAGGUGGGGAUGACGUCAAGUCAUCAUGGCCCUUACGAGUAGGGCUACACACGUGCUACAAUGGCGUAUACAAAGAGAAGCGACCUCGCGAGAGCAAGCGGACCUCAUAAAGUACGUCGUAGUCCGGAUUGGAGUCUGCAACUCGACUCCAUGAAGUCGGAAUCGCUAGUAAUCGUAGAUCAGAAUGCUACGGUGAAUACGUUCCCGGGCCUUGUACACACCGCCCGUCACACCAUGGGAGUGGGUUGCAAAAGAAGUAGAUAGCUUAACCUUCGGGAGGGCGUUUACCACUUUGUGAUUCAUGACUGGGGUGAAGUCGUAACAAGGUAAGCGUAGCGAG